ACGGGGGGGGCAAGCGUUGUUCGGAAUUACUGGGCGUAAAGGGUUCGUAGGUGGCCUACUAAGUCAGACGUGAAAUCCCUCAGCUUAACUGGGGAACUGCGUCUGAUACUGGGGGGCUUGAGUGCAGGAGAGGAACGCGGAAUUCCAGGUGUAGCGGUGAAAUGCGUAGAUAUCUGGAGGAACACCGGUGGCGAAGGCGGCAUUCUGGACCGAAACUGACGCUGAGGCGCAAAAGCCAGGGGAGCAAACGGGA
rnacentral:rRNA from 1 species